rnacentral:miRNA from 1 species
UUAUCAUACGUAGCACUAGCC